GGGUUUGUUCGGGUUUAUCCAAAACCUGAAUUCCGAAAUUUAUAUAGUAUUGUAGAAAUAUUAUUUUUGAUUUUUUCGCCCUUAAAUUUCAUUAUAUUUAAAACUAAACUACUUUAAUAAUAAAGUAUUACACAUUAAUAAAAUCUUGAACCGUAUUUAAUAAUUUCUAAACACAAAUCUUCACUAUACGGAGUAUGAAAUUUUAAAAUAAUUCAUUAGUUAAACAAAAAAAGUCAUUAUAACCCAAGAAUAUACACAUUCACACUCUACCUAUGUAUAUAUAAACAAAAUUUAGUAGAUUUAAAAUUGAAAAAAAGUAU
rnacentral:lncRNA from 1 species